CUGAUACUACAAGCAUUCUUGGAGCCUGACUUCGCUGCCAUUGUUUCCAGUGAACUUACGGGUUGGUCUGAACCUUUUGUUUGGAAGUAUCCCAAGAUCUAAGGAUCAUCACUUUUUAACCCAACCCAGCUACAGAAGCAAUCAAGAUAACCUAUCUUUAAGCAUGUGUUUCCCGCAAUUACUUUUGACAACCAAUUUUACCUGUCAAGGGUCAACACAGAAAGCAAAUCAGCUGGAGUUUUCAUAAGCAGAAAAUGUUUACCACAGAGGAUUAUUUGCUUACUUCAAAGACUGGAGGAGCAGAAGUGAGGGGCUGCUAUUGUUCUGUGGAUUUCAAUAAUACACCACUGUAAAUGGCAACCCAGAAGUCAGAAAGCUGCUGAUUCUUCUGCUCCUUCUUCUGCCUUCAUAAGUAGUUCUUGUUCAACAAAGCUGGUGAACUACAACUUGUCCUGUAAACACUCAUGUAUGUAGCUGAACUUCUUGUAAGCACAUACUAUAAUAUUGCCUCCCUCUAAUUUCCACAUUUCACAUCUUAAUAGUGCGCAGCUUGUGGCAAGUGAAAGUGAGAAAUGAACAUUUUAUUACCUUACUUCCACUAAAUGUGAGUAACAUUGAGAUUGAGAAAGUCAAUCCUAAUAGCAUUCGUAGAGCAAAUAUUCUACGAUUUUCUCACCUCUGCCGCCUAUUCCACAUAGCUAUACACGACCCCAAGAAAAAAUUCAACUGAGAAAUUAGCAUAUAAUUAGCUGGAAAUGCAAUUUUAGCACAAAAUCCA
rnacentral:lncRNA from 1 species